rnacentral:rRNA from 1 species
AAUCCCGUGAACCAUCGAGUUUUUGAACGCAAGUUGCGCCCGAAGCCUUCGGGCCGAGGGCACGCCUGCCUGGGCGUCACGCAUCGCGUCGCCCCCUCCACCCCGUCCUAGUANGCGGGGGGGGCGGAAACUGGNCUUCCGUGCGCUUCCGUCGCGCGGGCGGGCC